rnacentral:rRNA from 1 species
GACGAACGCUGGCGGCGUGCUUAACACAUGCAAGUCGAACGGGUCUGCCCUGUUUUUUGCGGGGUGGGUCAGUGGCGAACGGGUGAGUAACCCGUGAGUAACCUGCCCCUCACUUCUGGAUAACCGCUUGAAAGGGUGGCUAAUACGGGGUGUUCUGGCUGUGCCGCAUGGUGUGGCUGGGAAAGAUUCACUUUUGUGGUGUUUUGGUGGGGGAUGGGCUCGCGGCCUAUCAGCUUGGUGGUGGGGUGAUGGCCUGCCAAGGCUUUGACGGGUAGCCGGCCUGAGAGGGUGGGCGGUCACACUGGGACUGAGAUACGGCCCAGACUCCUGCGGGAGGCAGCAGUGGGGGGUAGUGCACAAUGGGCGGAAGCCUGAUGCAGCGACGUCGCGUGAGGGAUGGAGGCCUUCGGGUUGUGAACCUCUUUCGCCGGUGAAGAAGGUCCUGCUCUUUGGGGUGGGGUUGACGGUAGCCGGGUUAUGAAGCGCCGGCUAACUACGUG